AGAGAUGGGUUUCUGGACUCGCGAAGCAGCUGCAACAAGGCAUCACUCACUGUAUAAGUAUUUCCAUUUCUGAGAGCAAAAGGAAGAACUUAAGCGGGCGGCACUUGGAGUGUAAAUUGCUUUGUAGUAUUUAAAGGCAGAAUGGAUCCUGGGCAGCCGAGCUGCAACAAACCGGCAGGACUUCCUGUGAAAUCAUGACCACCAUGUGCUCUUUCAGCCUCUAUCAGUUCCUACCUCUAAGCACCUGAGAGCCAAAGCAAACCACAGGAAACCACAGGCCUUUGGAGUCAGACUGGAACUACAGCAUUGACUCUUCCGGAACUCCAGCUUACUGACUACAGAUCUUGGAACUUUUCAGCUUCCACAACCAUGCUUUGGUAUCAGGAUGAUGCUGGCCUCAUAAAAUGAGUCAGGGAGGAUUCCCUCUUUUUCUAUUGAUUGGAAUAGUUUCAGAAGGAAUGGUACCAGCUCCUCUUUGUACCUCUGGUAGAAUUCAGCUGUGAAUCCAUCUGGUCCUGGAGUUUUUUUGGUUGAAUGAAAGCCAAGCAUAUUCCAUCAUUUCCUAAAACCAAGAUAGAGCACAUAUGGGAACUUGUGAAAUAAGGAUGCCCUGCGGUUGUUUUCAGGACUGAAGACAACAGCUCCACGAUGUAUCUUUGCAUAAGAAUACACUUGUAUAAUAAGUUUUUUUUUUUAGAGAAAUUGCAUGUAUCUGCCUUAUAAACUUUUUCAUUCAUUCAUUUUCUUUCUUCCUAAUCUGUUCCAUAAAGCAAAUUUCUAACUUAUUGUUAAUCAAAAUAAUUAUUGAAAUAAUUAGUACUUUCAUAUGAUAAAGAUUAUUUUAAUCUGCA
rnacentral:lncRNA from 1 species